rnacentral:rRNA from 1 species
UACAGAGGUCUCAAGCGUUGUUCGGAUUCAUUGGGCGUAAAGGGUGCGUAGGCGGCGCGGUAAGUCGGGUGUGAAAUCUCGGAGCUUAACUCCGAAACUGCAUUCGAUACUGCCGUGCUUGAGGACUGGAGAGGAGACUGGAAUUUACGGUGUAGCGGUGAAAUGCGUAGAUAUCGUAAGGAAGACCAGUGGCGAAGGCGGGUCUCUGGACCGGUACUGACGCUGAGGCGCGAAAGCGUGGGGAGCAAACAGG